AGUGAACGCUGGCGGUAGGCCUAACACAUGCAAGUCGAACGGCAGCACAGUAAGAGCUUGCUCUUACGGGUGGCGAGUGGCGGACGGGUGAGGAAUACAUCGGAAUCUACUUUUUCGUGGGGGAUAACGUAGGGAAACUUACGCUAAUACCGCAUACGACCUACGGGUGAAAGCAGGGGAUCUUCGGACCUUGCGCGAUUGAAUGAGCCGAUGUCGGAUUAGCUAGUUGGCGGGGUAAAGGCCCACCAAGGCGACGAUCCGUAGCCGGUCUGAGAGGAUGAACCGCCCACCUGGGAAGGGGAAACGGGCCCGACUCCUUCGGGGGGGCGGAGGGGGGAAAUUUUGGAAAUGGGGGCAAACCCUAACCCGCCACGCCCGGGGGGGUGAAGAGGGCUUCGGGUUGUAAAAGCCUUUUUGUUGGGAAAAAAAAGCAGGUGGUUAACACCCCGCGUUUUUGCGGGAACCAAAAAGAUAAGCACCGGCAAACUUCGU
rnacentral:rRNA from 1 species